ensembl:lncRNA
CUUGAGUGCUUCAUCAAUCUCUAGGAGAUGAAUUCUUCCCCAGGAUAAAUUCUUUCCCAGGAGGUUUCUCAAUGCCUCAGGUAAAUAAUUAUCUGCUGGACCUGCCACACUGGCUCCCAGAAAUGCUCAAACCUGCCUCAGUUCUAGGAAGAACACAGACUAGGCUGCUAACUUCAGAUGUCAUCCUCUGUAGAUGUGUCAGGAACGGGUCUCAAAGUUUUACAGGAGGAGAAGACAAGCACAUCAUUACGGCAACCAUGUGACAAGCUCAGUGCAAGACACUUGAAAUGCGUUUUCUCUAAUCCAUUCAACCAUUUUUGGUAGGCAUAGUUUUCUACAUUUUACAGAUUGGGAAAGUUAGGGCUCCUUCAUUCAACAAGCAUUUAUGGAGUACUUACUAUGUGCAGCCACUGUUCUAGGCAUGUGAGAUACAUCAGUCACCAAUGUAGGCGAAGAUCCUUACCCUUGUGGAGGGUAUAUUCUAGAGGGGGGAAACUGAUAAUAAAUCAUUAGCAUAAUAAUACAAUAAAUUAUAUAUGUGAGAAGGCAAUUGGUUCCAUGGAACUUCAGAGAGGUUUCAAUUCAGCAAGUAUAUUUUGAGCAUCUCGUAAAUGCCAAGCAUUGGGAAUAAAAUUAAGAAUCAGAUAAACAUGCAUGCUUAUAUGGAGCUCGCAGUCCAGUGAGGCCACCGAGUAAGUGGCACAACCAGGAGUUAAUGCCAGGGGUCCAGUUCUGUGCUGGUGCUGACAUCCAUGGCAGGAACAUCUUAAUGAUAAAGUUUCUUUAAACACUGAGCACAAGAAUUUCCUCUGUAUGAAGACUUCCUCGGGCUCUCCUCUCACCCUCGAAGCGUGGUUCACUUCUCCACCUGCCACCCGUGUGUCCUCGACAUAGCCCUCAUGAAGCAUUUUGUUCCCCUGGGCUGCCUCUGUUGACUUACACACCUCUUCUCUGGGAGCUCCUGGAGACCAGGAAUUGUUUUGUACAUCUUUAUAUCCCUGUACCAAGGAUUUUGAUCAUCUGUGAAUAACAGGAAACCUGAUUAAACAGUGGCAUCGGCAAAUUCGAGGUUGAUUCUUUUUUAAUGCAACAAGAAGUCUGGAAGAGGUUGGUUGCUGUUUGUCGCUGCCUCAUUGCCUCAGGGAUGUCAUGGCUGAAGCCUGGCUGCCAGGACUCCAGUAUUCCCAACCCUGUGCAAGCAGGAGGAAGGGUCAGCACUUACAGCAGCAAAGCCAAGCCUUUUCAAACAUUCCUGGCAGUCUUCCACAUUCAUCUCGUUGGAUGGAACUGUGCCACAUGACCACUCCUAGUUACAAGGGAGGCUGGAAAGUGGGUUUUUUAAAAUUGGACACAUUGCUACCUGAACAAAAUCAGUGUUUGCUAGUAAAGAAGAAGGGGAAAGUGAAUAUUGGAAGGUAUCUAGACUGUCUGCCUCAAUCCCGAAUACAAAGCCUAGUGCCCAGCACCAUACUAUCGAGAAAGCACUCAACAACUAGUUAUUGAAUGAAUAAAUGGGUGAAUAAGUAAAUGACUUUUUGGUCCAUGUCACAUGGUCUGGGACUCUUC